rnacentral:rRNA from 1 species
UACGUAGGGCGCAAGCGUUGUCCGGAAUUAUUGGGCGUAAAGAGCUCGUAGGCGGCCUGUUACGUCUGCUGUGAAAUCCCGGGGCUUAACCCCGGGCGUGCAGUGGAUACGGGCAGGCUGGAGGCAGGCAGGGGAGAACGGAAUUCCCGGUGUAGCGGUGAAAUGCGUAGAGAUCCGGAGGAACACCAAAGGCGAAGGCAGUGUCCUGGGGAGUACCUGACGCUCAGGUGCGAAAGCCAGGGGAGCGAACGGG